GAUGAAGAACGUAGCAAAAUGCGAUACUUGGUGUGAAUUGCAGAAUCCCGUGAACCAUCGAGUUUUUGAACGCAAGUUGCGCCCGAAGCCUUUUGGCCGAGGGCACGUCUGCCUGGGCGUCACGCAUCGUGUCGCCCCCCCCAAAUUCUCCGUCAGGGGAGCUUGUGUUUCGGGGGCGGAUACUGGUCUCCCGUGCUCAUGGCGCGGUUGGCCGAAAUAGGAGUCCCUUCGAUGGACGCACGAACUAGUGGUGGUCGUAAAAACCCUCGUCUUUUGUUUCGUGCCGUUAGUCGCGAGGGAAGCUCUUCAAAAACCCCAACGCGUCGUCUCUUGACGGCGCUUCGACCGCGACCCCAGGUCAGGCGGGACUACCCGCUGAGUUUAAGCAUAUCAAUAAGCGGAGGA
rnacentral:misc_RNA from 1 species